UAGGGAAUCUUCCACAAUGGACGCAAGUCUGAUGGAGCAACGCCGCGUGAGUGAAGAAGGUUUUCGGACCGUAAAGCUCUGUUGUUGGUGAAGAAGGAUAGAGGUAGUAACUGGCCUUUAUUUGACGGUAAUCAACCAGAAAGUCACGGCUAACUACGUGCCAGCAGCCGCGGUAAUCGUAGGUGGCAAGCGUUGUCCGGAUUUAUUGGGCGUAAAGCGAGCGCAGGCGGAAGAAUAAGUCUGAUGUGAAAGCCCUCGGCUUAACCGAGGAAUUGCAUCGGAAACUGUUUUCUUGAGUGCAGAAGAGGAGAGUAGAACUCCAUGUGUAGCGGUGGAAUGCGUAGAUAUAUGGAAGAAUACCAGUGGCGAAGGCGGCUCUCUGGUCUGCAACUGACGCUGAGGCUCGAAAGCAUGGGUAGCGAACAGGAUUAGAUACCCUGGUAGUCCAUGCCGUAAACGAUGAGUGCUAAGUGUUGGGAGGCUUCCGCCUCUCAGUGCUGCAGCUAACGCAUUAAGCACUCCGCCUGGG
rnacentral:rRNA from 1 species